rnacentral:rRNA from 1 species
UACGUAGGGGGCGAGCGUUGUCCGGAAUUAUUGGGCGUAAAGAGCUUGUAGGUGGUUUGUCGCGUCUGCUGUGAAAAUCCGAGGCUCAACCUCGGACUUGCAGUGGGUACGGGCAGACUAGAGUGUGGUAGGGGAGACUGGAAUUCCUGGUGUAGCGGUGGAAUGCGCAGGAUAUCAGGAGGAACACCGGUGGCGAAGGCGGCUUUCUGGACGGUAACUGACGACUGGAGA